GGGGGAAUUUUCCGCAAUGGGCGCAAGCCUGACGGAGCAACGCCGCGUGGGGGAGGAAUGUCUGUGGAUUGUAAACCCCUUUUCUCAGGGAAGAAGCUCUGACGGUACCUGAGGAAUCAGCAUCGGCUAACUCCGUGCCAGCAGCCGCGGUAAGACGGAGGAUGCAAGCGUUAUCCGGAAUUAUUGGGCGUAAAGCGUCCGUAGGCGGUUUAUCAAGUCUGCCGUUAAAGACUGCAGCUUAACUGUGGGCGAGCGGUGGAAACUGAUUAACUAGAGUACGGUAGGGGUAGAGGGAAUUCCCAGUGUAGCGGUGAAAUGCGUAGAUAUUGGGAAGAACACCAGUGGCGAAGGCGCUCUACUGGGCCGUAACUGACGCUGAGGGACGAAAGCUAGGGGAGCGAAAGGGAUUAGAUACCCCUGUA
rnacentral:rRNA from 1 species